AGGGUCUGUGGUGACAGGACAAGGAGAAAUGGUUUCAAACUAAAAGAGGGGAGAUUUAAAUUGGACGUAAGGAAGAAGUUAUUUACAAUAAGGAUGGUGAGUGUCUGGUACAGGUUGCUCAAAGAUGUAGUGGAUGCCCCGUCCUUGGAGACAUUCAAGGACCUAAUAAGGUCCUUUCCAACUCAAAAGAUUCUAUGAUUCAUUACUACUUAGUAAGAAUAUUUUACAUCACCUCAGUAAUACUCCAUUUCUUUUUGCUUUGGUUUCAUCUCUUCGUUGUAAUAAACAGAUAAACAUUUAUACUUUAAAUAGUAGUCUUUGCAGUUAAACAUAUUCUUUUUUUAUCAUGGUUUUGAGAUCUUAAUUACAAUCAUAUAUAAGGUUAAUUUUGAGUUUUCUGAGUUAAUGUUAUCCUACUUCAGCUGGAAUUAUGGAUUGAUGUUUCUCAGUUUCAAAUGCCCUUCAUUUUUUGGUAUCUCUUUCGGUUUUUUGUUAAUCUCUAAAAAUUCUCCCUGGAUAUUGGAUUCAGUCUCCUAAUUCCGCUCAAGAAACAUUUGAUAUCUGAUUUUAGUUUAACUAACCACUCUGUGAAAAUAUUUCUCCCAUUCCGCAUUAUCAGCUUCUACAGCAGGGUUCUCAUACCAGUUCUGGUUUCCUCUGCUUUCAUAUUUCAGCUUCUUUGUUAGCACUUCAUUCUCUUUGUAUCUGCUUAAUCAGAAUAACCUUCUAAAUUGUACAGAUCUCAGCUUGUGCCAGUAUUCAGUCUUCCUGCAUUAUGUUCUCUUCUCAGGCAACAUCCAAGCUCAUCAUUUUCCAAUUGUCUAUUGGUUCCAUCAGGACAGUAGGCCUUCCCAAAUGAUCAAAUUGUAAUUUGGAGUCUACAAAGGUGAAGUGUAAGCCUUUUUAGCUGCAGCUGAGAGUAAGUCUUGUUGCACUGCUUUCCUUGAGGAACUUGUAUCUGCAUAGAAGAAAAUUGAGCCUCAUGCCAAUAGAUGAGAUAGACUUUAUGACUUCUCCAUGAUCACAGCACAUAUUGAUAAAAGCAUGGAAUUGUGAAAUACGAGAUGCAGAUGUCAAAAUAUUUCUUUGUUUUUGUAAGGAGUUGCACGAGGAGUCAUUCCUUUUCUGUACAAUGAAUUAUCGGCAUUCAGAACUGUAAAAAAGCCACUCUGCCAAGAAUAGAAAAAUAAAUGCCAUUUGUUGUUUGUU